rnacentral:piRNA from 1 species
UAAAGAAUUCAGGCACACACGGAUU